UGAGUCGGUCAGACGGCCGCGUCGGUGCCCCUCGGGGCGCCGCCGAGGAACGUCCGGGCUCCACAGGGCAAGGUGGUGGCUAACGGCCACCCGGGGCGACCCGCGGGACAGUGCCACAGAGAGCAGACCGCCUCGGCGAACCACCCGGCUCCGGCCGGGCAGGCGCCGCGGUAAGGGUGAAACGGUGGUGUAAGAGACCACCAGCACGCCAGGUGACUGGCGUGGCUAGGUAAACCCCACCUGGAGCAAGGUCAGACAGGAAGCGUUCGAGGGCGGCCCGCCCGAGCUUCCGGGUAGACCGCUGGAGGUGUCCGGCAACGGGCACCCGAGAUGGAUGGCCGUCGCCCGCAGUGCCGGUAACGGCCGCGGUGCACAGAACCCGGCGUACCGACCGACUCAUCCA
rnacentral:RNase_P_RNA from 1 species